AUUUGUAGAAGAUGCUUUGGGUGUGGCUCCGGUCUAAGUUCCUUGGAACAGGACGUCAUAGAGGGUGAGAAUCCCGUACGUGACUGGGUGCCUUCGCUCGUGUAAAGCUCUUUCGAC
rnacentral:rRNA from 1 species